GUGUGUUAGUGUAUGUGUGUUAGUGUGUGUGUUUGUGUGUGUUAGUGUAUGUGUUUGUGUGUUAGUGUAUGUGUAUGUGUGUUAGUGUGUGUGUUUGUGUAUGUGUGUUAGUGUAUGUGUGUGUGUUAGUUUAUGUGUGUUAGUGUGUGUGUUAGUGUGUCUGUGUGUGUGUCAGUAUGUCUGUGUGUGUGUGUCAGUAUGUCUGUCUGUCUGUGUGUCAGUAUAUAUGUGUG